rnacentral:tRNA from 1 species
GAAAUAUUAAAAGUAAGCUUCUAACUUAAUUUCUAAGCGAUUACAAUCGUUUAUAUUUCU